AGAGUUUGAUCAUGGCUCAGAACGAACGCUGGCGGCAUGCCUAAUACAUGCAAGUCGAACGCGCCUAGCAAUAGGCGAGUGGCGGACGGGUGAGUAACGCGUGGGAACCUGCCCUUGAGUGCGGGAUAACCGAGGGAAACUUCGGCUAAUACCGCAUGCUCCCGAGCAAUCGGGGAGAGAUUUAUCGCUCGAGGAGGGGC
rnacentral:rRNA from 1 species